ensembl:lncRNA
CCCUGAUGUUUUUUCUGCCUUCAGUCAUUUGUUUCAAGUAUUCAGAAACAGUGAAAGUUCACGAAGCAAAAACAUCUUGGGCAGGAAAAGAAGUGUGAGAGUUAGUCAGCAGCUCGACUCACUCAUAGGUCCAUGAGGUUGUAACUUAAUCUUGACAACAUAGUCUUUCCUGGAAGAGCUUUGAGCAGCGAUUUAUCAUUUUAUAAUUUGUGGUUUCAAUGUGAGCCAUCAACCAAGCAGCUGUCUUGGUCUGAGGCACUUUUGAAUCUUUCAAAAAACCCAGGGGAGGCAGGAAGCCGGCUUCAAACUUGAGGCCCCAAACUCGUGGGGUUUAAGGGAGAAGGCACAAAGGCCAGGAUUUCUGUGUGCGCUCUCUAGUCUUUGGAAAUGUAUGGAAUGCGUUCCUGUGUUUGUUUUAGACUUGGUGGGGGCUGGGGGGGGGAGCAUACUUCGAUAGCUGGAGCCGUGGGCUGGCCCCUCGUAUCUCUGGACGGCUUUUCUUCUGUUGCACGAUCCCCUGGGAAAUGAGAAGCUGCAAGCUGAGAGGGGGGAAAUGGGUGGAGAAAGGGGAAGCAAGGGGGAAGGGAGGAGUGCCCGCGAUAACUCUGCUGACUUCACAGUUUUCCACCGUGGCCUGCCCUGCCUACCUCUGUUGACUUCAAAGCUCGAGGAGUGCCUCUGCGCUCGUGCUCAGCCAGCCCCGCGGCCGCCGGUGGGAGAAGGCAUUGACUCUUCGCCCCAGGACCGCAUCCAUCCGAGAACGACAUUUCUGAAAUUAACUUUGCCGUGAACAAAAGGCGGCUCUGGGUCACCCAGUGCUGGGAUUCCAGCAUCCACCAGGGCGAAAGGCAGCUUUUACAGAGAUGUCUCCAGAAACUCGGGCGGUUUCCCAAGGUGUCUCACUGGUUCUGCAGCAGUGUUGGCCGUCUGUGGGCCGAUGGGCGUGGCUUUCGCAAUCGUGUUGGGGCGCCCGGAUUUGGGAAGACUUGCCUCCUCUCCUCCGAGCAAUGCAGGGAAUCAGAUGUUUGCUGGCAGCUCCCACAGUCUGUCACCAUUCUCUCCCCUCCCUGCUCCCCACGCUGGGAUUGACUUGUUUUCCUUCCCAUCUCUGUUUUCUCCAGAGUCCUCCGGCCUCUCCCAAGAGAGGAAGCGGAGGAAGAGGACCAUCCUGGCCGCUGUCACUCAUGACCUUCUAAUCUGCUUAUCAUUCUAAGCCCAGGACGGAAAGAGGCGCAGCACCUUCUCGGAGCAAAAACAGUCACCACAGAAUUUCACGGGCUGAAACCAAGAUGCACAGCACAGGAAGGAAAUCCAAGCUGCCACCAUCGGAAAACAAAAGCCUAUGUCAGAAAUAUUUACCUUUGGCCUUGAUCUCUCAUCCCAGACCUGCUGCUUAGACUUUUCACAAUUUAUGGAUCCUGACAUAUGGUGAUUCAUCUUGGUUUUGUCACUGCUAGCCACCACGCAGAAGGGUUGGCCUCCGAGAUGGGGGUGGGUGGCUAGGGAGAAGGGACACGUGUGCUCAGCAGCCACCCUUCGAAGUCCCAGGCCACAGUUUUCUCUUACGGAUGUUGCCCAGCCCAGGGUGGGCGGUUCAUCUGUGGCUUAUUUUCCGUUUGUUU